GACGAACGCUAGCUACAGGCUUAACACAUGCAAGUCGAGGGACCGGCGCACGGGUGAGUAACGCGUAUCCAACCUACCCAUUACUGUGGGAUAACCUGCCGAAAGGCAGACUAAUACCGUAUAGUAAUGGCUGGGGUGGCGUCUGAUUGGCUUGUUGGCGGGGUAACGGCCCACCAAGGCGCCGAUCAGUAGGGGUUCUGAGAGCAAGGUCCCCCACAUCGGAACUGAGACACGGUCCAAACUCCUACGGGAGGCAGCAGUGAGGAAUAGAGGUGAAUGGGCGCGAGCCUGAACCAGCCAAGUAGCGUGCAGGAUGACGGCCUAUGGGUUGUAAACUGCUGUUGUAUGGGGAUAGGUACCAGAAGAAUAAGGACCGGCUAAUUCCGUGCCAGCAGCCGCGGUAAUAG
rnacentral:rRNA from 1 species